rnacentral:tRNA from 1 species
UGGGGCGUGGCUAAGUGGCAAGGCAACGGGUUUUGGUCCCGCUAUUCGGAGGUUCGAAUCCUUCCGUCCCAG